rnacentral:rRNA from 1 species
UGGCGCACGGGUGAGUAACGCGUAUCCAACCUUCCCAUUACUGUGGGAUAACCUGCCGAAAGGCAGACUAAUACCGCAUAGUCUUCGAUGACGGCAUCAGAUUUGAAGUAAAGAUUUAUCGGUAAUGGAUGGGGAUGCGUCUGAUCAGCUUGUUGGCGGGGUAACGGCCCACCAAGGCGACGAUCAGUAGGGGUUCUGAGAGGAAGGUCCCCCACAUUGGAACUGAGACACGGUCCAAACUCCUACGGGAGGCAGCAGGA